GAUGAAGAACGCAGCGAAAUGCGAUAACUAAUGUGAAUUGCAGAAUUCCGUGAAUCAUCGAGUCUUUGAACGCACAUUGCGCCCCCUGGUAUUCCGGGGGGCAUGCCUGUCCGAGCGUCAUUACAACCCUCAAGCCCGGCUUGUGUAAUGGGCGGCCGUCUCUCCCCCCGGGGGGAGCCGCCCCCGAAACUCAGUGGGGAUGUCGCGAUACCGAAGCCUCAGCUAAUGGGUAAACCACAGCUGCAAUGGCCGCGGCCGGCGUCCGCCUUCCACGGUCCGUCCGCCUAGCGCGGGCGGCCUUCUCAAGGUUGACCUCGGAUCAGGUAGGGAUACCCGCUGAACUUAAGCAUAUCAAUAAGCGGAGGA
rnacentral:misc_RNA from 1 species